GUCCUAGCCGUAACGGUGCACGUUUGCUGUAAAGGAAUCGACCCCUUUGUGGCGAAGCUAACGCGUUAAACGUGCCGCCUGGGAAGUACGGUCGCAAGAUUAAACUCAAAGAAUUGACGGGGCCUGCACAAGCGGUGGAGUAUGUGGCUUAAUUCGAUGCAACGCGAAGAACCUUACCUGGCCUUGACAUGUAUCUAGUAGAAGGGUGAAGCCUGACGAGGUAGCAAUACCAGGAUACACAGGUGCUGCAUGGCUGUCGU
rnacentral:rRNA from 1 species